ensembl:snoRNA
GCAUGGCCAGAUUUAUGGGGGCACCUCCUAUGGUCCUUUCAUAGUGUACUCCAUGCCAGAUCAGCCAACCACCUCAAACCAUUGACAAGCCUUCUUAACCAUAGGCUUGGUUCACUGAUGUAGGUGGGACAAAA